rfam:Heligmosomoides polygyrus genome assembly, scaffold: HPBE_scaffold0006675
GCGCCGCUGGUGUAAUGGCGUAGAGCAUUCCCGCCCGGUCAGAGGGAGGUGCGGGUUCGAGUCCCGCCUGGCGCU